CUACACACGUGCUACGAAUGGGCGGUACAAGGGUCGCAAACCCGUAAGGGGGAGCAAAUCCACCUUAAAGACCGUCCUCAGUUCGGAUUGAGGUCUGCAACUCGACCUCAUGAAGCUGGAAUCGCUAGUAAUCGCGGAUCAGCAUGCCGCGGUGAAUACGUUCCCGGGCCUU
rnacentral:rRNA from 1 species